AGGACGAACGCUGGCGGCGUGCUUAACACAUGCAAGUCGAACGGAAAGGCCCGCUUGCGGGUACUCGAGUGGCGAACGGGUGAGUAACACGUGGGCAACCUGCCCUCAGCUCUGGGAUAACUCCGGGAAACCGGUGCUAAUACUGGAUAUCGACUUCUGCUCGCAUGGGUGGUUGUUGAAAGUUUUUCGGCUGGGGAUGGGCCCGCGGCCUAUCAGCUUGUUGGUGGGGUAAUGGCCUACCAAGGCGACGACGGGUAGCCGGCCUGAGAGGGCGACCGGCCACACUGGGACUGAGACACGGCCCAGACUCCUACGGGAGGCAGCAGUGGGGAAUAUUGCGCAAUGGGCGAAAGCCUGAUGCAGCGACGCCGCGUGAGGGAUGACGGCCUUCGGGUUGUAACCUCUUCAGCAGGGACGAAGCGAAGUGACGGUACCUGCAGAAGAAGCACCGGCCAACUACGUCGCCAGCAGCCGCGGUAA
rnacentral:rRNA from 1 species